rnacentral:lncRNA from 1 species
UUUGCGGGUUUUCGCUUUGGCCUCUCAUUUUAUUUUUUGUCAUUUUUUAUUUUGAUCUAGAUUUUUCUUUUUCAUUCUUCUUUCUUUUUCUCUCAUUUUCAUCUUGACCUUGACCUUGAUUUUGAUUUUGAUUUUGAUUUUUCUUGUUUUUGUUUAUUUUUUAUUUUUUAUUUUUUAUUUUUGGAUCUGAACUCUUGGGAUUAGGCAAGUCCUUGUUACCCCUUUCGAAGAAUCUCCUUUGAUAUUAGAUUUCUUUCAUAGAACCUCUUGGGGGUGCAACUAUGACAAAAAACUUUGGAUCAGGAUAAAAUCCCACAACAUCUUGAAGGGAUGGAAACUUGACUUCAAAUGGGCAAAUCUAUGUUGACUCAACGAGAAAGGCAUUGCCCCGACAAAGAACUGCA